rnacentral:lncRNA from 1 species
UUAUUUGAGACAGAGUCUCGCUCUGUUGCCCAGGCUGGAGUGCAAUGGCACGAUCUCGGCUCACUGCAACCUCCCCCUCCCAGGUUCAAGAGAUUCUCCUGCCUCAGCCUCCUGAGUAGCUGGGAUUACGGGCAUGCGCCACCAUGCCCCGCUAAUUUUUGUAUUUUUAGCAGAGGAGGGGCUUUGCCAUGUUGGCCAGGCUGGUCUUGAACGCCUGACCUCAGGUGAUCCACCCACCUUGGCUUCCCAAAGGGGUGGGAUUACAGGCGUGAGCCACUGCGCCCAGCCUAUUUAUUUUUUGAGACAGGAUCUUGCUCUGUCACCCAGACUGGAGUGCAGUGGUGUGAUCUCGGCUCACUGUAGCCUCUACCUCCUGGGGCUCAAGUGAUCCUCCUGCCUUGGCCUCCCAAAACACGGAGAUAACAGGUGUGAGCCACUGUGCUCCCUCUUUUAACACCUCUUGCUUUCUUUUCUCUCUGUCACCCAGUAGGCACCUCUGACUCAGCUGUGCCCCAUAACAUCUUCCUGUGAGCAAAGGGCUCCCCAGAGGCAGGUCACCUGUACCCUAAGAGGAAACAGCAGAAUGUUGCCGUCCGCGGCAGGAGAUCGCACUCGGCCCCUGGAAGUGGACCUCAGUGGGUGGCCUGCCCUGACAGGGAAGGGCGUGAGGGGGAAGGACAUGGCCCAGAGCAAGCCACAUGAGAAAAAUUACAAUAAAGUAUGGGACAUCCGCUGGGGACAGGGAGCAAGCAACAUGGGGCCACUGAGGGAAGGAGGUGACAAGGUGGGAGCCAAGGGACAGGGGUCCUGGGGUCUGAAUUUUCCUCAGCAAGCAAGUGGGAGCCAGCAAUGGUUGUAGAGCAGGAGAGUAGUGGGUCUGGACUCAUAGAGCAGCUUGUGGCUCAGGGGAGGUAGGAGGGUUAGCUGGUUCCCCAGAGCCUGUGUGGGUGAUGGGGGGGAGGGAACUGAGGCAGCAGACCAGAAGUGCUCCUGCACAUUCCCCUGCCUGCCUACCUUCUUUUGUCCCUCCUUCCUCUCCCUCCCUCCCAACAAUGCUUUCUGAGCACCCAGGAACCUGCUGGGUGCUGGGAGGACACGAUGGACCCUCGAGAAGGCUGCCCGAGGCUCCAGGCAGGCAGAGUGCAGACCCAGCAGCUGCAGCCUCGGCUGUGGGGAGCAACAAAGGCGCCUGAAACCAGGCCGCCCACAGGAUGUUGGAAACCACAGGGCCCGAGCUGGGGUCAGCCAGACAGGAAGCGACCUCAGCCCUUCCUAACUCAGCAACAGCGCAAGGCCCCUGCCUGCAGGCUCUUUCUUUGUAAGUGCCCUUGCCUGGGCCCAGGCUGGGGUGUGGCUCCCCUGUGACUGCCUUGAGGGGCUGUGCCCAAGCCAUGCCAGGUUGGGGCCACCAAAAGUGGGACAGGCCUGGAGGCCUGUUCAUAUUACAGUGAGGCAUAGACAGACCCGUUUUCUGAUUUAGUUGUUACCAGUGAAAGUUCUGCUGCCAGUCUUUUAUUCUCCCCCUUUAGAAAUGUUUUUAAUAUUGUUUUCAAAAUAGAGACUUGGCCUUACUAUGUUGCCCAGGCUGGUCUCAAACUCCUGGGCUCAAGUGAUCCUCCUGCCUUGGCCUCCCAAAGCACUGGGAUUACAUGUGGGAGCCACCGCACCCGGCAUGCCAGCUUCCUUCUCAGUCACUCCUGGAAGGUAACUCUCUCUCGCCUUGUCCAUGAAGAGGCCCCAUUGCCUGCCAGUCUUGCUGCAGGCGCUGUGAGAAGGCAUUUUCCAUCUGUCAACUGGACCUAGUUUUAUGUUGCCCGGGUCAGCGUCAUCCCUGUAGCAGGGGCCAGGUCUACUCCUGGAUGCCACCACGCCUCUGUGGGUUCCUGCAGUGACUCCUUCAACCCUUUCCCUCUGGAGGAAUCAGCUGCUUCACAGCUUGUUUCAGGACAAGGAAAUGCUGCUUUGUACAGGUUCAGGGCCAGCAUCCAGUCCCCUGGCUGGGUGGCAGUGCAUAAACCAAGCCUCUGCCCAGCGCUGUCAGCCCAGGGAGCGUCCAGCAGCCCCAACUGAAUCCAAGGUCACCACAAGGCUCGAAUCCAGUCCCCAGGCCAUGCCUCCCCUGGCCUUGGGCUCACACUGCACUCAAGGCUCCUAACCCAGCUUGUUAACUACUUGGAACCCCUCCCCCAACCCAUCUUUACCAGCCUUGAAGUUCUGAACUUUCAAGUCAUGGCACAUAACACAUACUUCCCCAAACCACAAACCCUGCGAGGCCGGACAGGGGCCCCGAGUCCCCCACCUGCACCACUCCCUCUCGCUUCCCUAACACCAGGGAGGGGGAUCAGCCCAUCAAGGAAGCAGUGCGUGAUGCCUUCCGAAACAGGCCAGAGGCCAGCCUCAGAUUGAUCACAGCUGAUCUCAGCCUCUCAAAUUGUUCGCCCCGGGCACCGUAAGCUGGGAGGCCUGGGCCUCUCCGCUGGUUCACGUGCCAGGACAUAGUAUGUGCGCCAGAAAUCACAUUUCACCCCCUAAAUGCUGCUGAGCCCUAAGAUGCAGCUCACAAACCCCUCUUCUGGGAGGCUGUCCCUGACACGGCCCUUCAAGCCACUGGAGCCCGACUCCCCACCAGGCUGGGAUAGGCCAGCGUCUGUCUCCUCCACUGGACCGGACGCAAUGGUAAAGGCAUGUGCUGUCUUGGUGAGUUGUGGGGUGGGGCCUGAAUCUGCUUUUGUAGCAACUCCCGGCUGAGGCAGCAGCUGGGGGUGCUUGGGCCCCACUUUGAGGUGCGGGGGCUGGAGCUUGGCACCCAGCCAGGGCUCUGUUGGAUACGGGUGUGUGGAUUAAUGGAUGAACAUCUGCAUCUCUGGUCUGGGAACUGAAAUGAGGAGACAGCAGGCCCAGGUUACUCCAAAGUAAAGGGCAGGUGCAAGGUGGGGACUUCUGCAGGCGUGGGGCACGGGCUGAGGGGCCACGGUGCCUCCAGGUCCCCCGUUUCGCUCGUGGUCUCCCUGGAGUGUGGCAGCCAGAUUUUAAUAAAGCCUUUUUGGUUUAUUGCACAUC